GGCUGGGCUGGGCUGGGCUGGGCUGGGAGGCAGCGAGCGCAGGAGCCUCACGCUUGCUCCAGACCAUGAGACCCCCUGACCCCCGGCAACCGC
rnacentral:miRNA from 1 species